GUUCCCAUUGAUUGCUGUGUUGUUUCCCGGGCGUGCCGUUCGAUGGCCGUCCCUGUGCGCAACGCUCGUGGGUUCUCCCAACCAUGAGUGGCUGAGUGCAUGUACAAGAUCAAAAUGAUUUGUACAGUAUGGUGGAGAUGAUGCUCACCAGCGCUCUCCUUGAUCCCAUAGUUGCGUUGUUCUUUGCUGGCCCACUGAUACAAUAUGGUUGGUAAAGCAAUUUUGAAAAGCAAAUAUAGCUUUUUCAUGGUUUAGUGAAUAAAUUUGCCUGGACAUUUGGUCUCACUAUAUCUGUGUGCAAGAUGCAGGAAUUUCAGUUUGGAAUUCAACUUAACACCAUAGGCUAAAUUGAGACUUUGCAGAGUAAAAAAAACAAAGUAUUCUGAGCCCUCUCUUUAUACAUAUGAAUGCUUCUUAGUACAUUCUUAUUGGAGAAAUGUGUUUGGUAACUAUUAUGUGAAAUGCUUUAUAGGUUUAUGGGCACAAGUUUCACAGUGGCGACGAGGUAGGUCGAAUCAUACUAUAUAUAUGUGUCGCAUCCUUUCAAGACUACAAAUUUGUGUCGAUAUGCUUUUAGUAGAUUUGUACAUGCUUCUAUUUGUUCCAUUGGCUAAAUACAAGGUUCACGGCAGAUUUUCCUUUUUGAUAUGGACUAUCGGAAUAUAACUAUCCCUGGAAACUUGUGAAGUUGGCGCACUUUGUCCUUCUUACAACAGAUGGGCCCAUAUUGAAGAUAGGCUUCUGCUCAGAUGGCAAUAUUCAUUUUAAUAUAUUAAGGCAUCUUCAUUUACUUCUUUACCUUCAAGACACAAGGGAUUUAUGAAAUUUAUCUUCUUGUUCCUUGCUUCUUUACAGGACCUAAAUUUGUGCCAACAAGAUAAAAUCAAGGUGUUGCAAUGUCACCUGAACUUUCAUAUCUAGAGAACAAUACCUGGGAUUUAACCACAAGGUAACAAAAAAUAUGCUAGACCUGUAAUUGAAAAAGAAUAAACAUUAUGCAUCCACUUAUUUGAGAAGUCGAAAAAGACCCCCCCCCCAGCACUUAGUUUAUGGUACAUGUUCUAAUCGGUUUUUGCUAUGCUCUAGCAUUUCGAAUUUGAACAGAGGUAUUGCUCCAGCAUUAAUUAUGUUGUAACACCAGCAUGAAUAUGCUAAAGGCAGAUCCGCAAGUUUUAUUUUAAACAUCUAUUUACUUGCUUUGGAAUAUUGAGGUUGCAAUCCAUAUUUCAGUGAGGUUACACUACACCCUGCUAAGCACCCAAACAUUUGUAUAUGGGACUCGAUUGCUAUAUUACUACACAGUUUCUGAGUUUCUUUUUUUGUAUUAGUUCAAGGCCAUGUAUACAUCUCGAUUUUUUUAUAUUGUUAAUCUUUAGCAAUGUUGUUAUGCAACAGGAGGAUGUUUCAGGUUUCCAUUCAGAAAAAAAACUACAAAAAAGAUCCAGCCAUGUCUAAACCUACAUUGUCUCUUUUACGCUGUGUAUUCCAGACUACUUUUGAAUAGAACAGUUAAUUUAUAUUAUUCACUUUACUUUUUUUUGUAUAUCAUAAUAUUUUCCUUUAAAUUUUUGGAUAACUGACCAAGAAGAGAAGGUGUCAAAGAAUAGAAUUUUAGCUCAAAUAAAGAUGAUGUUCCAACAUAUUGUCAUAAUACCUAGCCUUUUCCAGUGAUUGCUAAAGCUAACUAAAAUGAAGGCCAAAAAAACAAUUAAGGGUCUUUUAUGUAGCUACAAAAUUGGCGACUCUUUACACGGAUACAUAAGAUUAUUCACUUUACUGUUAUGUGGUUGCAAUAUUUGAAAAGGUGAGGCACAUCCCGAAAUAAAUUCUGCAGAUACAUUCCAUAAAUUGGCAUAGUUCCUUGUUCAACUCCAUGAAGAUAUUAAAUUCUAUCGACAAGUCCCAACCAAAAAUAAAUCAUAAACAUGGAAACGACCGAUGGAGCUACUCUUUGGAUAUGAUACGAACCUGUUUCAAGCUAGCUGCCGUAUAUUUUUGAGAAUAGAUAUUAUUUCUGGAACAUAAUUAUUUCCCUACAAAGUUUCAUAAUUUCAUUGUUGCCUCCUUUAAGUAUUUGGAUUACUAACCUCAGUCACUUUUUACGAAAUGUUGUUGUGAUUCUUAGGCAUAUGGUUCACUUUAUACCACUGCUACAAUCAAUAUUCCUGAAAGCAUAAGGUUCUUAAAUUAGCAAUCUAAAAGUGCAUAUCCUACGUUCCUCUCAUUGUUUUGAGUUAAGGCUUUACUUCUUCACAUUUGAUCUACGAUGCCUAAUCAAUGCCUUAUUUGGAAACAUCAUGACUGUCCUGCCUUAGUUAACAGGGAGGAAAUUACACAUAAAACUUCAGGUAUGCAUUAUGUUGUAUUUGCAUCAUGACCAGCUCUGUUUUUUAGGAGUUCAGUGUUGUCUCCCUGCAACGCUUUCUAUUUUGGCAUGGCUGUUAUGUUGCUCUAUUUUCUUCCAAAAAGAUGGAUUUGAGCCUAAUCCAAAGUAGGAGAUGGCCAACAUGUGAGCCUGAAUAAAGGAAGCACACAUGCAAAAUGGCUCACACUCCCUUCCCAUGUGUUUUCUUUCUUCCAGAGGAUUACCAACUUCCGUUCAGUUCCUCUUCUUUUUUAGCUUCAUUCAUAGCUGUGCAUAUAGUCGGGUUGAGUCCGUCCAGAUUUGCUUUUCUGUACACUUCGAUUGCUUUGCGUGAUACAUUCCUUCUACAAGGGACCGCAACUCUUCUGCUUCCUACUAAUAAUUUCUGCUUAUUCACCUUCUUUCUGCCAUCUUUGCCUCCCAAUCCAUGUUACUACAGUGCAUAUAUGCUUCGAUUCUUUGCAUCCGCGUUACAUUCAUCGUUUGCAAAAUCUAAUUCCCCCCCCCAC